AAUGAACGCUGGCGGCAGGCCUAAAACAUGCAAGUCGAACGCCCUAACAAUAGGGAGUGGCGCACGGGUGAGUAACAUGUGGGAAUAUGCCUUUUGGUACGGAACAACGUUUGGAAACGAACGCUAAUACCGUAUGGUCCCUCCGGGGUAAAGAUUUAUCGCCAAAAGAUUAGCCCGCACUAGAUUAGCUAGUUGGUAAGGUAAUGGCUUACCAAGGCGACGAUCUAUAGCUGUUCUGAGAGGAAGAUCAGCCACACUGGGACUGAGACACGGCCCAGACUCCUACGGGAGGCAGCAGUUAGGAAUAUUGGACAAUGGGCGCAAGCCUGAUCCAGCCAUGCCGCGUGAGUGAUGAAGGCCUUCGGGUUGUAAAGCUCUUUAGCCGACGAAUAUAAUGACUGUAGUCGGAGAAUAAGCCCCGGCUAACUUCGUGCCAGCAGCCGCAGUAAAAC
rnacentral:rRNA from 1 species